UAUAAGAUAUGUACAACUGUCGACUUGUUUCUGUUUGUGUACAUUUUAUAAAAUCUGUUAAAAAUCAUUGAAAAAGCAGAGUUUAAGUAUGAAUUCUCACCAAAUUGAAAAGGGUAGCUAAUUUUACAGGUCAAAUUUCUGUUUAUUUUCCUGUAUAAAAACUCACGUCAGUUUUUUGUACAGAUUCUUUUGACCUGUGACGUCCCCUUAAACUCUGUGGAGUCGUCGUCGUCGCCGUUUUCCUCAAAGAUGGUGACUUCGUACACCUGAACGCCGACAAACACACAGAGCUGACACAGAGGCGUCGUCUUCGUUGUAAUCGUCAGAAUCGACGGACUCGACUUCAAACUCCACGCUGAAGUUGUCACUGUCUGAGUCCGGCGCCGUGAGCGGGACCGCGACCUCUGACCUCGUCGACUGAAACACAAAAAAUGACAUGAAAACAUUUCAUCAUAAAAUGAAACGAGAAGCUGUCGACACCCAGCAGCCGACCCAGUGCAUCCUGGGAGCAGUGGACGAUGUGCUGCUGCUUGUGGUCGUACAGUUGCUUCUGGAUGAUGUACUGACCGAGGUAGAACAUCACCUGAUUUAAAGCCAGCAUGAGUGAAAUAUGUCUGGACUUGUCCCGCUUCACUCACACACACACGCCCACAGAGACAGAGAGUUGUCCACAGCAUCAUUUAAACACAUAACUUCAUGUUUACACAGUAAAUUAAACCUAAAUUCUGCUGCACAAAACACAACACUUACGAAUAAACAUUGGAUGUUUUCACAUUUAGUGAAUCACAACACGAGUUGUUAUAGCAUAACAACUACAAGUUAGUAAACAAGCAGAGACGUCACAUCUGAAAAAAACAAAGAUAAAGUAUUUAAAUGUAAAUAUAUAUAGAUAUGUACAGCAACAUAUAAGUCAUUGUCCAGUGUUAUGGCUCAUGUGGCUGCAUGAAUCCAGCGGAGAGGCCGAGCCAAACAAACGGCGGCAUCGUUGCUGUGUCUCAGUCCGGGUUCUUCUCCGCGAGGAAAGCCCGAGGCUCUGCGGCCUGUUAGCAUGUUGCUAACCACCUGCAAAGAGCGCUACUGCUCUAGUGAAAAACACCAAACCCUGGGUGGCAGCAAUGCGUGAGCAGGCGCCCGGGAUUUGCCCCGAAAUUGAAAAGAAGAAGAAGAAGGAGAA